rnacentral:tRNA from 1 species
GGGCCGUUAGCUCAUUUGGUAGAGCGCGACAUUUGCAAUGUCGAGGUAAUCGGUUCGAGACCGAUACGGUCCA